GAUGAACGCUGGCGGCGUGCCUAAUACAUGCAAGUCGAGCGAACAGAUGAGGAGCUUGCUCCUCUGACGUUAGCGGCGGACGGGUGAGUAACACGUGGAUAACCUACCUAUAAGACUGGGAUAACUUCGGGAAACCGGAGCUAAUACCGGAUAAUAUAUUGAACCGCAUGGUUCAAUAGUGAAAGACGGUUUUGCUGUCACUUAUAGAUGGAUCCGCGCCGCAUUAGCUAGUUGGUAAGGUAACGGCUUAUCAAGGCAACGAUGCGUAGCCGACCUGAGAGGGUGAUCGGCCACACGGGAAAUGAGACACGGUCCAGACUCCUACGGGAGGCAGCAGUAGGGAAUCUUCCGCAAUGGGCGAAAGCCUGACGGAGCAACGCCGCGUGAGUGAUGAAGGUCUUCGGAUCGUAAAACUCUGUUAUUAGGGAAGAACAAAUGUGUAAGUAACUAUGCACGUCUUGACGGUACCUAAUCAGAAAGCCACGGCUAACUACGUG
rnacentral:rRNA from 1 species